rnacentral:rRNA from 1 species
UCCACGCCCUAAACGAUGAACACUAGUCGUCGGGAUGCUAGUCAUCUCGGUGAUGCACUUAACAGAUUAAGUGUUCCGCCUGGGGAGUACGGUCGCAAGAUUAAAACUCAAAGGAAUAGACGGGGACCCGCACAAGUGGUGGAGCAUGUGGUUUAAUUCGAUGAUACGCGAGGAACCUUACCUGGACUUAAAUGUAGCGUGACCGUACUCGAAAGGGUAUUUCUCUUCGGAGC